rnacentral:tRNA from 1 species
GGUCUCAUGGUGUAAUGGUUAGCACUCUGGACUCUGAAUCCAGCGAUCCGAGUUCGAGUCUCGGUGAGACCU